GAUGAACGCUAGCUACCGGUUUAACACAUGCAAGUCGAGGGGAAACGACAUCGAAAGCUUGCUUUUGAUGGGCGUCGACCGGCGCACGGGUGAGUAACGCGUAUCCAACCUGCCCACCACUUGGGGAUAACCUUGCGAAAGUAAGACUAAUACCCAAUGACGUCUCUAGAAGACAUCUGAAAGAGAUUAAAGAUUUAUCGGUGAUGGAUGGGGAUGCGUCUGAUUAGCUUGUUGGCGGGGUAACGGCCCACCAAGGCAACGAUCAGUAGGGGUUCUGAGAGGAAGGUCCCCCACAUUGGAACUGAGACACGGUCCAAACUCCUACGGGAGGCAGCAGUGAGGAAUAUUGGUCAAUGGGCGAGAGCCUGAACCAGCCAAGUAGCGUGCAGGAAGACGGCCCUAUGGGUUGUAAACUGCUUUUAUAAGGGAAUAAAGUGAGUCUCGUGAGACUUUUUGCAUGUACCUUAUGAAUAAGGACCGGCUAAUUCCGUGCCAGCAGCCGCGGUAAUACGGAAGGUCCGGGCGUUAUCCGGAUUUAUUGGGUUUAAAGGGAGCGUAGGCCGGAGAUUAAGCGUGUUGUGAAAUGUAGACGCUCAACGUCUGCACUGCAGCGCGAACUGGUUUCCUUGAGUACGCACAAAGUGGGCGGAAUUCGUGGUGUAGCGGUGAAAUGCUUAGAUAUCACGAAGAACUCCGAUUGCGAAGGCAGCUCACUGGAGCGCAACUGACGCUGAAGCUCGAAAGUGCGGGUAUCGAGCAGG
rnacentral:rRNA from 1 species